rnacentral:rRNA from 1 species
GACGAACGCUGGCGGCGUGCUUAACACAUGCAAGUCGAACGGAAAGGCCCUGCUUUUGUGGGGUGCUCGAGUGGCGACCGGGUGAGUAACACGUGAGUAACCUGCCCUUGACUUUGGGAUAACUUCAGGAAACUGGGGCUAAUACCGGAUAGGAGCUCCUGCUGCAUGGUGGGGGUUGGAAAGUUUCGGCGGUUGGGGAUGGACUCGCGGCUUAUCAGCUUGUUGGUGGGGUAGUGGCUUACCAAGGCUUGGACGGGUAGCCGGCCUGAGAGGGUGACCGGCCACAUUGGGACUGAGAUACGGCCCAGACUACUACGGGAGGCAGCAGUGGGGAAUAUUGCACAAUGGGCGGAAGCCUGAUGCAGCAACGCCGCGUGCGGGAUGACGGCCUUCGGGUUGGAAACCGCUUUCGCCUGUGACGAAGCGUGAGUGACGGUAAUGGGUAAAGAAGCACCGGCUAACUACGUG